UUAAUGAUUCUGGGCAAUUGAAGGUAUGUUUCUUUCAAUUCAUAUAUUCUUCUUCUUGUGGCUCUCAAUUAUGGAUUUGGUCAAUCUCGAGCUAGUUGGAAUCAGCUGUGUUCAUCUGUUUCCUUAAUUCUACUUGGUUUAGUGCUAUAUUUAUAGAAAGGUCUAUAAUACUGACAGAGCCUUCUUCAUGACUUCAUGUCAAAAGUGGCUAAAUUUCCUUUUUUUAAGCUUGCAUGCGACUUCUGUAGGUUGAUGUAAUUGUGAUGUCAUUCUAGCAAAAUUUAACAAUAGUCACCUUUUCGAAACAAAAUUGAAGUUAAAAGAUUUUACCGUUACAAAUUGAAGUUUAUUGAUUGUUGUGAAAAAUGUGAUAAGUUAAAUGAGCAUAGGUGAAACUGAGUCCAUAUUUCUCUUCGAAUAUAUCUCUAUAGAUGCCUUAAUGUAGACAUUGAUUCAAUUUUUCGUUUUCAUCUCAUCUUUGCAGCUUCAUGAGGGUGUAAA
rnacentral:misc_RNA from 1 species